rnacentral:lncRNA from 1 species
CUGCCACCGCACAUUUUCCACCUUCUACUCCAGGUCUUGCACCUGCUACUCCAAAUCUAACUGGACUGGUACUUGAACAAAAAGGACAAGGAUAUGCAGAGACCAACGAGACGCACAACCAAACCAAGAAAGGCCCCUGAGGGGGCCUGAGGGGGCUGACCCCCAGCUAUGGCGCAGGUGCCUACUAGUGCCACUCCAGUGCCACCUUGAGGGCCCAUAUUUCUGACCAAUUAUAUUAGGCGAUCUGCAUGGAACUUGCACACCUUACUGAACCCAUGCCUAUCUACAAGGGUGCAAAUUUUGAAUGAUAUUGGUCAACAUCAACCUCAGCUAAAGGUGGCUGAACUUUAACCUCCGUUUGUGCAGGCUGCGAUGCUGAAACUUGGCCCAGUUGCAGCACCUUUC